rnacentral:rRNA from 1 species
UACGGAGGAUGCAAGGGUUAUCCGGAAUGAUUGGGCGGAAAGCGUCCGCAGGUGGCUGUGUAAGUCUGCUGUCAAAGAGCAAAGCUCAACUUUGUAAAGGCAGUGGAAACUACACGGCUAGAGUGCGUUCGGGGCAGAGGGAAUUCCCGGUGUAGCGGUGAAAUGCGCAGAUAUCGGGAGGAACACCAGUGGCGAAGGCGGUACUCUGGGCCGGAACUGACGCUGAGGAGCGAAAGCGUGGGUAGCGAACAGG